rnacentral:rRNA from 1 species
AUUGAACGCUGGCGGCAGGCCUAACACAUGCAAGUCGAGCGAGCGGCGGACGGGUGCGUAAUGUUUGGGGCUCUGCCCGAUAGAGGGGAAUAACUCCUGGAAACUGUGGCUAAUACCGCAUACUAUCGGCUGAACCCAUAUGGGAUUAGCUAGUUGGUGGGGUAAUGGCUCACCUAGGCGACGAUCUCUGGCGGGUCUGAGAGGAUGAACAGCCACACUGGGAGUGAGACACGGCCCAGACUCUGACGGGAGGCCGCAGUGGGGAAGAUUGCACAAUGGGAGCAAGCCUGAUGCAGCCAUGCCGCGUGUAUGAAGAAGGCCUUCGGGUUGGAAAGUACUUUAAGUCGCGAGGCGUUACCGAAAGAAGAAGCACCGGCUAACUCCGUGCCAGCAGCCGCGGUAAUUC